GACACCUAGGAACAAAUUCAUCACAGCUAAUCAUUAAGGCUACUCUUAGUUUAAAUGAUAGCUAUUCAUGGUGCACUAAAUACAAAGGAAGAUAUCAGAGAUUUUAGUCAGAUGGUGCCUGACCUCUUGACAGCUAUUCUACAAACUGAACACAUAACAUUUCCAGUGUGAUGAAACAUCACUACUGGAAAAAUGGUGGAUAAGACAUUAUAUGCUUUUCCUCCCACUGUCAAUAUCCUAAUAAACAAGCAAGCAAGAUGUCAGAGGAGUUGCUCAAAAGAAAGGCCACUAUGGUGAGUUUAAUUCUGGAAACUGGGUAAUAGAAUAUAUACACUCCAGAGGGAAGGAAGAACCUUGGAAAUAAUUUUGUUGCAUCUUCAGAAAAGCGCUUUAAAGAACAGUCUGGUGAAUGCUUCCCAGUUCCCAUUAAUAACAGUUCUCAGAAUCUCACGGUCUUGGACCACAAAGGUGUUACAUUACAGGGAGUGGGAGAAAUACUUUUCUGCACAAAUAUCUGGGAGCUUUUUUUUUCUAAAACACCAUCAGGGAUAUCAUUUUCCAAAGCCUAAAGCAAUAUCUUGCCCCAUGGCUAUUUAGAAGGAGCAUACAAAAAUGAAAAGGGAUCUCAACACUGUCAGUCUAAGUGAGUUAAGUGUAAAAAAACUCUCUAGAGAAUGAUGAAAACUGCAUAAGAAGCCAUCUCUGAUUCCACAGGCCUCUCCUCACACAACCCCCCUAAGUUAUUUCUGCAAGCAAAAGCAAGGGAAUGAGCAAAAAAACCACAAGGGUCUAAAAUUACCCAAGCUGCAUGUAAAAUAUGAUUUUUAAUUUUUAAGUAUAAAAAGCUUUUUAAUGAUCACAUCAAACAUGUAUUACUCCUCCUUUUUCUUUUUUUUAAUUAAAAAUUUACCAUUUUUUCCUCUGGAAGAAAACAACUGCUGUCUUCUCAAACUAUUUAAAACCCUGAACAGAUGCAGAGCUUGCAUCAUUGCAACCACACAUAGAAAUGCUUCCACUGUGCAAGAAAAAAAAUGAAUAGUCUUUGUAGAUUAAUUCUAAGAAAAGAGAAAAAUCUACUGGUGUUGUGCCAACUCAUGGUCUGUGGUGAUGAAUUCUUUCUAAAAUAUCCAUCAGAAGCACCCAUCUCAACAGGACGAAGCAGAAACUUUUUGCUGCUUAAUUGAUACUGAAUUAAAUGCAAAAUUCAGUUGGAUUUGGUUAAAAGUGAUUGCAGGACAUAAUAGUUGUUGGCUCCAUCUAUUUUAAGACCCAGGAUGCUUUCUAUUUCAGAAGUUCUGAGAUACAUUACGGGAAUAGCCCAAAUCUGGACUGGGCAGACUUCAGUGUGCCUUAUCAUCUCCCCACAUCUUGGUUUCCAAGCAACGAGAAGGUUCCACAUGGACCCCAAGUCACAAAGAUCUUCAGGGACAGCUGGGCACACCAUGAAGCACAGCUCUUCUCUGCACGGCCACAUGUACUGAGCACCCAGUGUCAGCGACAGAGACCUCUUACUUUCUGAGAUGUAUAUGUUUGCAUUUUCUUCAGUAUGGGCAAAAAAUUAGAUCAGGUUCCUGUAUGUUCAGAAACAUCUGGAAAUGCCUGCAAUUGUUAAAGAUAAAACUACAGCCACCAAAAUCACACUGGGAUUUGUCCUGUUAAUUUACAUUUUCAUCUCAGAAAGUACCUGCAUAUAACAGGAUAAUUUGACUUUGACCACGCUGGACUUCUGAAACAGAGCCCAGGCAUUCACCAUGAGGAAGG